rnacentral:hammerhead_ribozyme from 1 species
AUCCAGUUAACAAGUCCAACAAUAGGACGAAACGCUCGUCAAACUGGAU